rnacentral:rRNA from 1 species
UGCUUGAGAGUGGCGAACGGGUGAGUAAUAUAUCGGAACGUGCCCAGUCGUGGGGGAUAACGUAGAGAAAUUUACGCUAAUACCGCAUACGAUCUAAGGAUGAAAGCGGGGGAUUUCGCAAGAAGCCUCGCGCGAUUGGAGCGGCUGAUAUCAGAUUAGGUUGUUGGUGAGGUAAAAGCUCACCAAGCCGACGAUCUGUAGCUGGUUUGAGAGAACGACCAGCCACACUGGGACUGAGACACGGCCCAGACUCCUACGGGAGGCAGCAGUGGGGAAUUUUGGACAAUGGGCGAAAGCCUGAUCCAGCAAUGCCGCGUGCAGGAAGAAGGCCUCCGGGUUGUAAACUGCUUUUGUACGGAACGAAACGGUCUGCUCUAAUACAGUGGGCUAAUGACGGUACCGUAAGAAUAAGCGCCGGCUAACUACGUGCCAGCAGCCGCGGUAAUACGUAGGGUGCGAGCGUUAAUCGGAAUUACUGGGCGUAAAGCGUGCGCAGGCGGUUAUAUAAGACAGUUGUGAAAUCCCCGGGCUCGACCUGGGAAUUGCAUCUGUGACUGUAUAGCUAGAGUACGGUAGAGGGGGAUGGAAUUCCGCGUGUAGCAGUGAAAUGCGUAGAUAUGCGGAGGAACACCGAUGGCGAAGGCAAUCCCCUGGACCUGUACUGACGCUCAUGCAC